GGCUCAUUAGUUCAGUUGGAUAGAACGUGGCGCUACGAACGCCAAGAUCGGGAGUUCGAAUCUCUCAUGAGUCA
rnacentral:tRNA from 1 species